rnacentral:rRNA from 1 species
GACGAACGCUGGCGGCGUGCUUAACACAUGCAAGUCGAACGAAGUGGCGAACGGGUGAGUAACGCGUACUCAACCUGCACUUCAGAGGGGGACAACAGUGGGAAACGACUGCUAAUACCGCAUACUGAAGGAGGGGAGUGCGUCUGCUUAGCUAGUUGGAGGGGUAACGGCCGACCAAGGCGAGGAGAAGUAGCCGGUCUGAGGGGAGGAACGGCCACAUUGGGACUGAGACACGGCCCAGACUCCUACGGGAGGCAGCAGUUGGGAAUCUUCCGCAAUGGGCGGAAGUCUGACGGAGCAACGCCGCGUGAGUGAUGACGGCCUUCGGGUUGUAAAGCUCUGUUAAUCGGGACGCGGUACCGGAAUAGAAAGCCACGGCUAACUACGUGCCAGCAGCCGCGGUAAUUC